CCUACGGUGAGCAGCAGUCGAGAAUCAUUCACAAUGGGGGAAACCCUGAUGGUGCGACGCCGCGUGGGGGAAUGAAGGUCUUCGGAUUGUAAACCCCUGUCAUGUGGGAGCAAAUUAAAAAGAUAGUACCACAAGAGGAAGAGACGGCUAACUCUGUGCUAGCAGCCGCGGUAAUACAGAGGUCUCAAGCGUUGUUCGGAAUCACUGGGCGUAAAGCGUGCGUAGGCUGUUUCGUAAGUCGUGUGUGAAAGGCGCGGGCUCAACCCGCGGACGGCACAUGAUACUGCGAGACUAGAGUAAUGGAGGGGGAACCGGAAUUCUCGGUGUAGCAGUGAAAUGCGUAGAUAUCGAGAGGAACACUCGUGGCGAAGGCGGGUUCCUGGACAUUAACUGACGCUGAGGCACGAAGGCCAGGGGAGCGAAAGGGAUUAGAUACCCCAGUAGUC
rnacentral:rRNA from 1 species